rnacentral:rRNA from 1 species
GACGAACGCUGGCGGCGUGCCUAAUACAUGCAAGUAGAACGCAGUUGCGAACGGGUGAGUAACGCGUAGGUAACUGCCUGGUAGCGGGGGAUAACUAUUGGAGACGAUAGCUAAUACCGCAUACUACCAGAUGUACCUGCGUUGUAUUAGCUAGGUGGGGGGGUAACGGCUCACCAAGGCAACGUUACAUAGCCGAACUGGGAGGGUGAUCGGCCACACUGGGAAUGAGGAACGGCCCAGAAUCCUACGGGAGGCAGCAGUAGGGAAAUUUCGGGAAUGGGGGGAAAGCUGACCAAGCAACGCCGCGUGAGUGAAGAAGGUUUUUGGAUCGUAAAGCUCUGUUGUUAAGGAAGCGGUACUUAACCAGAAAGGGACGGCUAACUACGUGCCAGCAGCCGCGGUAAUUC